rnacentral:rRNA from 1 species
GAUGAACGCUGGCGGCGUGCUUAACACAUGCAAGUCGAACGGAAAGGCUCCUGCUUGCCGGCGUACUCGAGUGGCGAACGGGUGAGUAACACAUGGGUGAUCUGCCCUGCACUUCGGGAUAAGCCUGGGAAACUGGGUCUAAUACCGGAUAUGACCACAUUUUGGGCGGUGUGCUAGAAAGGUUUGCGGUGUGGGAUGAGCUCGUGGCCUAUCCGCUUGUUGGUGAGGUAGUGGACUACAAAGGCGUCGACGGGUAGCCGGCCUGGGAGGGUGUAAGGCCACAGUGGGCCUGGGGUAGCGCCCAGAGUGCUACGGGAGGCAGGAGCGGAGACUAGAGCACAAUGCGCGGAGGCAUGAAGCAGGGACGUCGGGUGGGGGAAGACGGCCAUCGGGGAGUAAACAACUUGCGCUAGGGACGAAGCGCAAGUGCCGGUACCUGUCGAAGAAGCACCGGCUAACUCCUU